rnacentral:rRNA from 1 species
AACGAACGCUGGCGGCAGGCUUAACACAUGCAAGUCGAGCGCCCCGCAAGGGGAGCGGCAGACGGGUGAGUAACGCGUGGGAACAUACCCUUUGCUACGGAAUAGCUCCGGGAAACUGGAAUUAAUACUGUAUGUGCCCUACGGGGGAAAGAUUUAUCGGCAAAGGAUCGGCCCGCGUUGGAUUAGCUAGUUGGUGGGGUAAUGGCCUACCAAGGCGACGAUCCAUAGCUGGUCUGAGAGGAUGAUCAGCCACAUUGGGACUGAGACACGGCCCAAACUCCUACGGGAGGCAGCAGUGGGGAAUAUUGGACAAUGGGCGCAAGCCUGAUCCAGCCAUGCCGCGUGAGUGAUGAAGGCCUUAGGGUUGUAAAGCUCUUUCACCGGAGAAGAUAAUGACGGUAUCCGGAGAAGAAGCCCCGGCUAACUACGUGCCAGCCGCCGCAGUAACAC